GAUUUAAGCUAUAUGGCAUCAAGAUUGGUUGCCUUCCCACUGCCAGUAUCCUUCCGCUUUUUUGUUUCUAGCAGAACCUGCCUCCCAUGCUGGAGACAGAGAAUGCCAAAGACUCACUUUCCCAGCUUCCCCUGUGUCUAGAGCAGGUGACCCAUUCGUGGCCAAUGGGACCAAAGAGAAUACCUGCUAAGGGAUUCUGGGACAAAGUUCCUCCCUCCUUUUCUGAUAUUUGCUACUUGGAGCUGAGGGGGGCCAUUGCAAGACCAUGACAGAGGAUCAAGAGAACUACAAAGAAGAUGGAAUUGGAUGGAAAAUAAAGAAUGAAUAUGGUAUGUGACAGAGCUCCCUCCUGGUGGUUUUUAAAGAUGCUGGAAAGAGUGGUGGAGACAUGGAGGCCUUAGAAGAUGCCCUUGUAGUGUUGUCUUCAGCUUUCCUGGGGACUGUUGGAAUCCGCUGCAGAGAUGACUGCCAUGCCAUGAAGACACUCAAGCAGCCCUAUGAAAAGGUCCACUUGGGGAGGAACUGAGACCUCUUGCCAACAACCAUGUGAGUAACCCGUCUUGGAAGACGAUCCACCAACCCCAGUCAAGGCUUCAGAUGACUGUCACUCCAGCCAACAUCUUGACUACGACCUCAUGAGAGACUCUGUGCCAGAACCACCCAGCUAAGCUGCUCCUGAAUUCCUGACCCCCAGAAACUGAGAUAAUAAAUGUUUAUUAUUUUGAGCCACAAUAUUUUUGGGUAAUUUGUUGGAAGGCAAUAGAUAACUAAUACAGGCUCUCAUAAUGUCAUUUAUUUGGGUCCAGUCAGCAUGCUUUAGGAUCUGGGAGUUUUUUUCCUUCAUCCAUAAUCUAACAGCAAUAUAAGGAAUACAAGAAAAAGAAACUAAAGAGACUUCCCUGGAUUCUCCUGGUAUUGGUGGAUGUAACAUUUGACUCUUUACUUCUUCCCUGCUGAGUCUGAAGGGCUUUUGCUUGAAGUAAUUUGCCAUUUUGGAAGAGAAGCACUAUUUGGCUAGUGUGUGUUUUAGUGUCAGAAAGUCCCUUAGGAAAUGAAUAAACCCAGAGUCUCCAACUCACUUAAUAAAGCAUUGCAUUUAAUCCUGCAACAAUCCUGUGAUGUAGGCACACUUGCCUGAUUUUAAGGCUGAGGGAAUUGAAGUAUUAUGUGUCAGGGAUACACACAAAUGUGGGGGAAUAUGAAAGGUCUUGGAGGCUGUCUUCAUAAAUAUCCAGUUACUUCUGCGUCAUGGAAGAGAGGAAAAAAGAAAGGCAUUAAGAAG
rnacentral:lncRNA from 1 species